AGUCGUUGUGUUAAUAUAGAAUGGCAUCGGUUCAGAUUUGGACAGGAUCAGCUGCUCCUUGCCACAGGGUUAAACAAUGGUCGCAUCAAGAUCUGGGAUGUGUAUACAGGAAAACUCCUCCUUAAUUUGGUAGACCAUAUCGAAGUGGUUAGAGACUUAACUUUUGCUCCAGAUGGGAGCUUACUCCUUGUAUCCGCUUCAAGAGACAAAACUCUUAGAGUGUGGGACCUGAAAGAUGAUGGAAAUAUGGUGAAAGUAUUGCGGGGCCAUCAGAAUUGGGUAUACAGUUGUGCGUUUUCUCCAGACUGUUCUAUGCUGUGUUCAGUUGGAGCCAGUAAAGCAGUGGUGGCAGCAAUAUUGGUGUGAUUGAGGUUAUGCUGGCACCACUCACACACAGGCGCAUAAUGGUGCUAGCUGGGCAGAAAGAGUGGCAUCUCUGGCUACCGGGCUGGGGGCGACCUUUACCCUAGGAUGAAGUAACCUUGCAUUCGGCUGCAAGGUGUACUGUACGUACACAGGUUUUCCUUUGGAAUAUGGAUAAAUACACCAUGAUAAGGAGACUGGAAGGGCAUCACCAUGAUGUCGUAGCUUGUGACUUUUCUCCUGAUGGAGCAUUACUAGCUACUGCGUCUUACGAUACGCGUGUGUAUGUCUGGGACCCACACAUUGGAGACACUCUGAUGGAGUUUGG
rnacentral:lncRNA from 1 species